UAAAAUUCCCUCUCUUUUCUUUUUUUCAAUUAUUCUUCCUCUUUCCCAAUCUCGUCAAUCCCUUGCUCCUCUCCCUCUUUCUUAUGUCUACCCAUUACCACAGUUCGCCCCCCUUUGAUUUCAAUUUGGAAUUUAUAAGUCACCAUUUAGACUACAUUUUUUAUUUUUACAGUUAUCGUGUUCGCUGUUUUUCUCUAAAAACCCUAGCUGCUCCUGAUGGUGAUCAAUCAAUUUGCAGAUUAUUGGACUGCAAGUUAUUGCGAGAGACAGAAAGAGGGCGAGAGUUGUAGGGUUUGAUGGCUGACGGCUCUGAUGCGACGUAAGCAACUACCAUAUCGUGUGUUCAAUGCGGCAAGCCAGUGCAUCUUCAGUAUGUGCCCAAAGUGCAUGGAAUUAAAGCUUCCUCAUGAAGCUGCCGCUUUCUGCGCAUAUAGUUCAACUUCUAGGAGACUGUCAUCUUAUGUCCCCAAGGAGCUGGAGGAGUAUAUUGCUACUGCAUAUUCAAGCAUUCCAUGAAGAAGCCAAGUUAAAUGCCCCACAUUCCUACACAACCACUACAACUCUUCUUAGCAUCCUUCGUAUAUCAACCGAAGAUGUUGGAAUGUUAUUUAGCUGGGCUUUACUACAUUAUGUGUGAGAAAGAGUGGACCUCUCUUUGUUUCAAUGUUCAAGCACUUAUGGAUAGUUUCUGUUGCACUCAUGGGUAUCAUCUUUUGGGAGAUACUCUUUAUAUUGGCAGGUUGGGCUUUUGCUAGUGAUUAUUAUUUUAACAUCAAGAAUUCUUAUAAUUUGAUGAUUGCAGUUGCAUAGAGAAAGAAUAGCCGAAAGAAUCAAGGCAUUGCAGGAGUUGGUUCCUAGUGCAAACAAGUGCAAGGUCAACUCGGAUCUGCUGCUCUUAAAGCAGAUAUGAGCAAAGCCUAUGAUCGCAUUGAAUGGCAUUUUCUUGAGGCAAUCAUGUUGAAAAUGGUCUUUUCUGGUAGAUGGGUAUCAUUGGUUAUGUCCUUUAUGCGAUCAGUAACAUACUCUUUUUCACAUGGUGGUCGGGAAUUUGGCACUCUAGUUCCUAAAAGAGGAUUGCGACAAGGUGAUCCUCUUUCACCUAUCUUUUUAUUUUAUGUGAUGAGAGUUUGUCUGCUAUUAUUCGACAUUUUGUGACUCAGGGUGAUCUUCAGGGGUGUAAGAUUGCUCGUCAUGCACCUUCCAUAUCACACUUGUUUUUUGACGAUGAUUGUUAUUUUUUUCUUUCGAGCUACUGCCCAGGAAGCCACAAUUCUCAAGAAUUGUCUUCAUAUUAACUCUACCGCAUCUGGUCAAAGGGUUAAUUUCCAAAAAUCCCUAAUUUAUUUCAGUUCUAAUACUGCUGCUUCUGAUCCCAUCUUUAAUUGGAAGAAACAAAUCUGAAGUCGUUAACGAUUACAGGGUUGGAAAAGGCGUCUUCUAUCACGUGCUGGCAAAGAAAUAUUAUUGAAGUGUGUUGCUCAGGCAAUGCCCUUUUAUGUCAUGAGUGUGUUUCUAUUACCUGUUGAUUUAUGCCACUCUUUGGAACGAAUGAUAAGUUUCGGUGGACGAAUUCUAACGGGGCAUUAAAUGGAUGAGUUGGCAUCGUUGGCCAAAGAAGGGCGGCGCUUACUCAUGUUUCCAAAUGCCCUUUUUGCUAGAAUUUAUCAAGCCCGAUACAUCCCACAUUCAGAUUUCUUUUCUGCCUCUUUGGGUUCUAACCCAAGUUAUACUUGGCAAAUCAUUUUGGAGGCUCGUUUGCUCUUAUCUAUAGGUGAUGGCUCUACCACUCUUAUUUGGAAUACGCCUUGGCUUCCUUACCAGUAUGAUCCAUUUGUGCAUUCGCCUAAUAAUUCGGGCAUGGACGAUGCUUUAGUUCAUGAUUUGAUGCUUCUGCACACUCGAGCAUGGAAUACUGAAUUGGUAAAUGAAGUAUUUGAGCUAAGAGGUUAAUUCUUCAAAUGCCAUUAUCUCCUCGCUUAACUGCUGAUAGUUGGAUGUGGUUAUUUGCUCACAAAGGCAUAUACUCUGUGUGGAGUGGAUAUAAGUUGAUGUCACAGGUCCAGUCUGCACAAGUGUGAUAUCUCUAACUGACUCAAUGCCUUCUUGGUCUCGUAUUUGGAAUUUGCAGAUCCCUCCUGAAGUAAAACACUUUAUCUGGAGGUCUUUUGCCAGUAUUCUUCCUGUCAUGAGUAAAUUAGUUCGGAAACGUGUUGAUGUUUCUAAUCUCUGUCCUGUAUGUGGUCAAGUGGAUGAAACUAUUGACCAUAUACUUUUAUCAUGUGACCAGUCCUCAUUAGUUUGGGUUACUGCUGGAUUUGGAACUUGGGGGUUUCCUAUUUCUUCUGCUUGUUGGGUGGAGCUUCUCUUUAAUUCUCAUUCCGCGGAUUCUAUUUCACAAGCUUUUAUGCUCUUGGAGCAUUUGGAGAAACCAUAAUUCAAUAGUCUAGAAACAAUCACCACUUCCUCAUGCUCAAGUUGUUCGAAUUGCACAAUUACUCUUGCUGAUUGGAUCGAAGCUCGUAGUGUGACUAGUAAGCCUUGUGGUUCAGAACCUCCAUCUUUUUAUGCGAAAUUGCAACCUCCGAUGUUGAAUUGGGUCCAAUGUAAUAUUGAUGCAGCAGUAGACAGAGCAAGAUCAAGAUCAAGAACUCGCCUGGAUUGGUUGCUGCGUGACUCCUCUUGUCAUUUCUUGGGUGUAGUUUGAAGGGAUUUGAUGGUUGUUUACCUAUCUCUCUUGCUGAAGCUGUUUGUGCAAAAGAGGUAACAGUUAAGUUGGCUCAAGAGACUCGGACAACAGAGGAUUAUUACUGAAACUGACUCUAUGACUCUCCACAAGGCUAUCACUUCUGACACUUUCAAUAUUUCUUAUUUUGGUCCUGUUGUGAAUGAUAUAAAGGCUCUAAUUCAUAAGCUUGAAGCGGUAUCCUUGCUUUUUGUGUGUAAAUCAGCGAAUCAGUCCACUCAUUCUAUAUUACAAUGGCCGCUGUCUCUGAGUCUGAUUUUAAUGAAUGGGGUGAUGUCCCUGCUUCAUUUAUGAUUGA